CCUAACACAUGCAAGUCGAACGAAGUAGCAAUACUUAGUGGCAGACGGGUGAGUAACAUGUAGGUAUCUUCCCUUUGGCCUGGAAUAACACGAGGAAACUUGUGCUAAUACCGGAUAAGUCUUUACGGAGAAAGCUUUAUGCACCAUUGGAUGAGCCUGCACUUGAUUAGUUUGUUGGUGGGGUAAUGGCCUACCAAGACUUUGAUCAAUAGCUGAUUUGAGAGGAUGAUCAGCCACAUUGGGACUGAGACACGGCCCAAACUCCUACGGGAGGCAGCAGUGGGGAGUCUUGCACAAUGGAGGAAACUCUGAUGCAGCGAUGCCGCGUGAGUGAAGAAGGCCUUUGGGUUGUAAAGCUCUUUCGUCGGGGAAGAAAAUGACUGUACCCGAAUAAGAAGGUCCGGCUAACUUCGUGCCAGCAGCCGCGGUAAUACGAAGGGACCUAGCGUAGUUCGGAAUUACUGGGCUUAAAGAGUUCGUAGGUGGUUGAAAAAGUUGGUGGUGAAAUCCCAGAGCUUAACUCUGGAACUGCCAUCAAAACUUUUCAGCUAGGGUUUGAUAGAGGAAAGCAGAAUUUCUAGUGUAGAGGUGAAAUUCGUAGAUAUUAGAAAGAAUACCAAUUGCGAAGGCAGCUUUCUGGAUCAUUACUGACAC
rnacentral:rRNA from 1 species